rnacentral:rRNA from 1 species
CCUACGGGAUGCAGCAGUGGGGAAUAUUGCGCAAUGGGCGAAAGCCUGACGCAGCGACGCCGCGUGAGGGAUGAAGGUCUUCGAAUCGUAAACCUCUGUCAGCAGGGAAGAACGGUCACUGUGCUAAUCAGCAGUGAAUUGACGGUACCUGCAAAGGAAGCACCGGCUAACUCCGUGCCAGCAGCCGCGGUAAUACGGAGGGUGCGAGCGUUAAUCGGAAUUACUGGGCGUAAAGCGCUCGUAGGCGGUAUGUCAAGUCAAGGGUGAAAUCCCCGCGCUCAACGUGGGAACUGCCUUUGAAACUGGCAAACUGGAAUGUGUGAGAGGAUAGUGGAAUUCCAGGUGUAGGAGUGAAAUCCGUAGAUAUCUGGAGGAACAUCAGUGGCGAAGGCGACUAUCUGGCACAUAACUGACGCUGAGGAGCGAAAGCGUGGGUAGCAAACAGGAUUAGAUACCCUAGUAGUC